rnacentral:tRNA from 1 species
AAGAAUUUAAGUUAAAAAAACUAUUGACCUUCAAAGUCAAACUUAGAAAGCUAUUUCUAAUUCUUA